UCGCAGUGAUGUGAGAAUUUCUUCACCUGAACUGCAGAUUGAAGACCAAAAGACGACAUUGGCUAAUUUAACUCUGAGCUUU
rnacentral:snoRNA from 1 species